GCGGAAGUGGUGCAAUUGGCAGACACGUACGUCUCAGAAGCGUAUGGGGUAACCCUUGAGGGUUCAACUCCCUCCUUCCGCACCA
rnacentral:tRNA from 1 species